rnacentral:rRNA from 1 species
UACGGGGGGGGUAAGCGUUGUUCGGAAUUACUGGGCGUAAAGGGCUCGUAGGCGGCCAACUAAGUCAGACGUGAAAUCCCUCAGCUUAACUGGGGAACUGCGUCUGAUACUGGAUGGCUUGGAUUCGGGAGAGGAAUGCGGAAUUCCAGGUGUAGCGGUGAAAUGCGUAGAUAUCUGGAGGAACACCGGUGGCGAAGGCGGCAUUCUGGGCAGUAACUGACGCUGAGGAGCGAAAGCGUGGGGAGCGAACAGG